UUACUUAAGCAUGUUGCAAUAGGUCUUAAAGCUGAAACGAAUAGUUAGCUAAAGUAUUUUUAUUUGGCAUCUAAAGUGUCUCAUCUUCCUGUUAUCCUCCUUUCUCACUGAGUACAGGAAGCACAAAAGAACAGCAUGCCCCCAAACAAGAUGGAAAGGGCAGUGUGAGUUACAUGUCAAAACUGUGCAUGCUACCACCUUCCUCACCUGCACACUACUGGCAUCACACUAUAGCCAGAGAGCUGAUAAGCAAGGCCACAGAGUGAGGAAACCAGAAGCUCAAGACACAGCGCUGUGUUGUUAAACCACCCCAACAGGCCCUGCAGCACGUGGGAGAAGGGUGGGGUGAUGUGUGCUGCUGCUACCACAGGAAACUUAUUUGAUUGUUAGUUAAACCGGCAUUGUAGCCAUCUUGGCCAGAAAAGGGUUUUCAAACC